rnacentral:lncRNA from 1 species
UUUGAUAACAGACUCAUCUACUCCCAGGAAAUCACAGAAUGAGAGAGAGCCACAAUCUUGUGGGAUUUUCUUCAGAAGCUCCAUCACAUCUCUGCUCUCUGCUUUGGAAGCUGAAAUUUCUCCUUUCACAGAAAUUCUUCAGCAGGAGUCCUGCCUGCAGACUCCUCGCUCAGGAAGCUCCAGGAGCCAUCUGGGACUAGUCUGCAAGGCUCAGCUGAUGUGUUACUGUGUAUCCAGAUGUACUUCAGGACCAAAAAGUGACCCCUGUGUUUGCCCAAAAUCACACCCAUGGACAACAGCAAAGCACCAGCCAAAGUGGGUCAACCCAUCUUAUUUGGGGCUGAAGGUUUCCAUCUCCAGCAGUGUCUUCUGAGCAAUUGAAAACUCCAACCAAGGUUAAUUGGGAUAAAGUGGAGUGUCUGGCUGGACCCAAGCUCUACAGUUUGCAGUCUGGCAACAAAAAGCAACUCUCUCUUUCCCUUGUUAUCACCGAGGCUGAGGUCCUGUGCUGCCUCUGUAGAGUCGCUGCAGCAAAACAUGAAUUAUGGAUGAAAUGAAAAAUCCCAGCCCAGUGCACAGAGG